GGGUCAUGGAAGCAACCUAAAUGCCCAUCGACAGACGAAUGGAUAAAGAGGAUGUGGUACAUAUAUACAAUGGACUAUUACUCAGCCAUAAAAAGGAAUGAAAUUGGGUCAUUUGUAGAGAUGUGGAUGGACCUAGAGUCUGUCAUACAGACUGAAGUAAGUCAGAAAGAGAAAAACAAAUACCAUAUGCUAACACAUAUAUGUGGAAUCUAAAAAAAAAAAAAAGGUUAUGAAGAACCUAGGGG